rnacentral:rRNA from 1 species
AUUGAACGCUGGCGGCAGGCAUAACACAUGCAAGUCGAACGAGUGGCGGACGGGUGAGUAAUGAUUGGGAAACUGGCUGAUGGAGGGGGAUAACUACGGGAAACGGUAGCUAAUAACGCGUACCAUGGGAGGAGGCCAUGGGGGAUUAGGUAGUGGGGGAGGUAAAGGCUAACCAAGCCGACGAUCUCUAGCUGGUCUGAGAGGAUGACCAGCCACACUGGGACUGAGACACGGCCCAGCCUCCUACGGUAGGCAGCAGUGGGGAAUAUUGCGCAAUGGGGGCAACCUGACGCAGCCAUGCCGCGUGAAUGAAGAAGGCCUUCGGGUUGUAAAGUUCUUUCGGUAGCGAGGCGUUAACUACAGAAGAAGCACCGGCUAACUCCGUGCCAGCAGCCGCGGUAAUUC